UACAGAGGUCCCGAGCGUUGUUCGGAUUCAUUGGGCGUAAAGGGUGCGUAGGCGGUUUGACAAGUCUGAUGUGAAAUCUAUGGGCUCAACCCAUAGUCUGCAUUAGAAACUGUCGGGCUUGAGUAUGGGAGAGGUGAGUGGAAUUUCCGGUGUAGCGGUGAAAUGCGUAGAUAUCGGAAGGAACACCUGUGGCGAAAAGCGGCUCACUGGACCAUUACUGACGCUGAUGCACGAAAGCUAGGGGAGCAAACAGG
rnacentral:rRNA from 1 species